rfam:Streptomyces sp. AcH 505 scaffold00001, whole genome shotgun sequence.
CUGGCCCCGGUUCACGUACGAGCAGUCCGCGCGUGCGACCCGGAGCC